GCUCCGUGUCGGGCUCUGGUGGCCUCGCCUGGACCCCACGCGCGCUGUGUGCCCCAGGUCUCUUGUGCGGGGCUUGCUCCCGGAAGCUCUUUAUGGGCAAAAUCGAGAAGACAGCCCCUGUCCCACCUGACAGCCUUCUCAGCUCCGUCCAGGAGCCGCCAUGGACACCUCCUGCCCCGCUCUGCUGAGGGACGCGGGAGCCACUGGGGACACAGAGGGCUUGGGGGACCGCAGUCAGUCCCUGCCCCGGGAAGUCCCCAUCCAGGAUGCGAUUCUGGCCUCGGGAUUCGUCUCCCUCUCCCGGGGCUCCCAGGAAGGGAGACGAGUGGUGCACAAAUGAAAAUGCAACAACAGAAAUCAAAUGAACAGAAAUCAAAACACAAAAAUGAACAAACUCACUCUGCUCCCAUCACCAACAGAAAACAUGAACUGUGUGUACUACACCACACCAACAAUGGAGACUGUUCUAGUGGAAUAAAAUGUUAAAUGAGAAAACACAAAAUGAACAUGAAUGGUGGCAGGAAACAAAGUAAAAUAGAAAAAGGACAAAGUAAUCAAAAUGGAAAAGGAAAAAAAAAUUUGACCAAACAGGAGCAGCAGGAUCCAAUUCUUCCUCUGGAUUCCUCUCCCUCUCCAGGGCUCCCCCAGGAAGGGUCAGCAGGGCUGACGUCUGGGAGACCCCGAGCCAGCAGCUGACACAGAUCAGCUCUCACGGCUCAGACAACUUGAGCACAAAAGAAGAUGAAACAAACAGAAAUCAAAUGAACAGAAAUCAGAACACAAAAUGGACUCAGCUCACAUCACCAACAGAAAACAGGAACUAAAUGAACUCAACUGGACUCACAAUUGAGAUUGACCCUAUCGAAUGAGUUAAAAGUGAGAAAACACAAAAAAGGAAUAAAUCAUAAGGAAAAAAAUUCA
rnacentral:lncRNA from 1 species